rnacentral:rRNA from 1 species
UAAAUAACGAAUUUGAUUUUGGUUCAGAUAAUAGGCUAACAUUAUUUAUUAUACAUGCAAAUUAGAUCAAAUUUUUUGAUUAGUGAACUGGUGAGUAAUAUUUAUAUAUUCUACAUGUAGAGAUAGAGAAAGAGGUAAUGGAGUAAUCACCUGACAAACAUUAAGGAAAUUCUAACAGAGUUAAAAAACCUUUACAUAUGAUGUAUAAAAUGAUUAGGUAUUUGACAUAGUUUUCAUAUAUAAAAAAUAUGAUAAUGAUAUCAAGCCAAGGAUCAUUAGUAGAGUUAAGUAGACUGAUCUACCACCCUAGAACUGGAAAAAUUCUAGACAUAUAUUUGGCAGCAGUAAAGAAUAUUGUACAAUGAGCAAAAGCUCGAUACAGAGAUAAUGUGUCAAGGAUGAAGGCAUAGUCGUAAACUUGAAAAGUAGGUCAGAAAAAUGAUAGACCUAUAGUAAGAACUAUCUAACAUUUGUGCCAGCAGAUGCGGUUAUACAAUGAGUUCGAGUCUAUAUCAGUAUUACUAGGUGUAAAACAUGAAAUAGUUGGUUUUGAAGUGUAAAAAGCCCAUAUGUGAAUAUGAGAACAUAUACUUAAUUAAUAUUUGAAUUUUUAUUAAUUGAAAAUAUUAAAUUAAAACUUGAAUUUCAUAGAAAUUAGUAGAAUGAGUUUUGUAUUGGUAGAAUUAGUAGAUAAUACUCAGAAGUCCAAAGGUGAAAACAACUAAUUAUAUGAAAUUGACAAUUCAUCAUGAAAACCAGGGGAGCAACCCAGAUUAGAUACCUGAUUAGUCCUGGUUGUAAACUAUGUUCAUUACAAAUUUAUUUCAUUUCAAUAAUAAAUUUGUCAGAUAACUCGUAAAUGAACUACCUGAAUAGUACGAUCACUAGAUUAAAACUUAAAAAAUUAGGCAAUUCGCUAAAAUCUCUGUGGAACAUGUGGUUUAAUUUGAUAAUCCACGAGGAACCUUACUAUAGCUUGUUAUAGCUUCAAUUUCAUUUAUUUAAUAGUAAAUGAAUGUUAGAAAUUACAGGUAUUGCAUGGCUGUCUACAGUUCGUCUUUUGAGAGCUUGGGUUAAUUCCUUUUUUAACUAACGAACGCAACUUCACAUUUAGCAUUAUUUUUAUAAUCUAAAGCAGAAUUUUUCCCGUAAGGGAUUUAAAUGAAACUAAGUCAAGUCAUCAUGAUCCUUAUGUUAUAGGCCACACAUGUGUUACAAUGCAUAAAAUCAAUAAGUAUUACAAUAGCGAUGUUGUAGCAUUAGCAAAUUUAUGCUUAGUUCAGAUUGAAUAAUGAAACUCUUAUUCAUAAAGCAGGAAUAGACAGUAAUCAUUUAUCAGAAGGGAAUGGUGAAUCAUCAUUAGCGUGUGUACUAACUGCCUGUCACCAUUUAGCUGUGUGUUAUACAGAAAUCAUUAUAGUAUUAUUAUCAUGUUAUAUUAGGUUAUUCUAAUAUAAUAUGUUGAGAUUGUUAUAUGAGUAUGUAUGAUAUGUUGCCAAAUGUAAGUCAUAACACGAUUACAGUAGGGGAACCUGUUGUAGGUUGAUAAUAUAU